rnacentral:tRNA from 1 species
UCCCUGGUGGCUCAGACGGUAAAAGCAUCUGCCUGCAAUGCAGGAGACCAGGGUUCGAUUCCUGGGUCGGGAA